rnacentral:rRNA from 1 species
GAUCAAAAUGAGAACUAGCUGAACGUGCCUGAUCUCAUCUGAUUUCAGAAGCUAAGCAGGUCUGGACCCGGUUAGUACAUAGAUGGGAGAUCGCCUGGGAAUACUGAGUGGAUGU